rnacentral:rRNA from 1 species
AGACGGUGCACCCGUACCGCAAACCGACACAGGUAGUCGAGGAGAGUAUCCUCAGGUGAGCGAGAGAACUCUCGUUAAGGAACUCGGCAAAAUGGCCCCGUAACUUCGGGAGAAGGGGCGCUGGUCGCAAGAUCAGCCGCAGUGAAAAGGCCCAAGCAACUGUUUAUCAAAAACACAGGCAUCUGCAAAAUCGUAAGAUGAAGUAUAGGUGCUGACACCUGCCCGGUGCUGGAAGGUUAAGAGGAGAGCUUAGCGCAAGCGAAGGUUUGAAUUGAAGCCCCAGUAAACGGCGGCCGUAACUAUAACGGUCCUAAGGUAGCGAAAUUCCUUGUCGGGUAAGUUCCGACCUGCACGAAAGGUGUAAUGAUUUGGGCACUGUCUCAACGAGAGACUCGGUGAAAUUAUAAUACCCGUGAAGAUGCGGGUUACCCGCGACAGGACGGAAAGACCCCAUGGAGCUUUACUGCAGUUUAAUAUUGGGUAUCUGUCAAGCAUGUACAGGAUAGGUAGGAGCCGGAGAAGAUAGGACGCCAGUCUUAUC